rnacentral:rRNA from 1 species
GUGGGGAAUAUUGGACAAUGGGCGAAAGCCUGAUCCAGCAAUGCCGCGUGAGUGAUGAAGGCCUUAGGGUUGUAAAGCUCUUUUACCAGGGAUGAUAAUGACAGUACCUGGAGAAUAAGCUCCGGCUAACUCCGUGCCAGCAGCCGCGGUAAUACGGAGGGAGCUAGCGUUGUUCGGAAUUACUGGGCGUAAAGCGCGCGUAGGCGGCUCAGCAAGUCAGGGGUGAAAUCCCGGGGCUCAACCCCGGAACUGCCUUUGAAACUGCUAGGCUAGAAUCCUGGAGAGGCGAGUGGAAUUCCGAGUGUAGAGGUGAAAUGCGUAGAUAUACGGAGGAACACCAGUGGCGAAGGCGGAUUACUGGACGAUAACUGACGCUGAGGCGCGAAAGCGUGGGGAGCAAACAGGAUUAGAAACCCGUGUAGUCC